rnacentral:rRNA from 1 species
ACUCCUACGGGAGGCAGCAGUGGGGAAUAUUGCACAAUGGGGGAAACCCUGAUGCAGCCAUGCCGCGUGUGUGAAGAAGGCCUUGGGUUGUAAAGCACUUUCAGUAGGGAGGAAGGUAGUGUAGUUAACACCUGCAUUAUUUGACGUUACCUACAGAAGAAGCACCGGCUAACUCCGUGCCAGCAGCCGCGGUAAUACGGAGGGUGCGAGCGUUAAUCGGAAUUACGUGGGCGUAAAGCGCAUGCAGGCGGCCUGUUAAGUCAGAUGUGAAAGCCCGGGGCUUAACCUCGGAAUUGCAUUUGAAACUGGCAGGCUAGAGUCUUGUAGAGGGGUUAGAAUUUCAGGUGUAGCGGUGAAAUGCGUAGAGAUCUGAAGGAAUACCGAGUGGCGAAGGCGGCCCCUGGACAAAGACUGACGCUCAGAUGCGAAAGCGUGGGAGCAAACAGGAUUAGA